ensembl:lncRNA
AUGCUGCGUUUCAAAUGCGCGUGGGUUCUUCUGUGUCUCGCGGCUGUCAGAGGCUUUUGGCACCGCUCAGAUGUAUCAGCUGUUAUACAUGGAGGCCUGUCACGCCCAGGUUUCAUCAGAUCUCUCAAGGAAGCCAACAUGAUGUUCGAGUUCUUACUGAGUGGACUUGUGAUUGAUGUGGACAACAACGUUGCCAUGAGGGACCAAGAAAUGGCCUCCACGAGGCAGGGCCGAGCUUUCUUAGCCCUUAUAAAUGAUAACAUCCCCAAGACUGUGCCAGCAAUGGAGGAGCUACUGAUCGCUCUCGAGGAUGAAGAGAAGUCCUUCAGUCAGUCCAGUUUUGAGACCCUCAUCCUGGGGAUCAUCUAUUCAGCCUACCAGGUCCAGAAACAAGAGGUUGAGAGGCAGGAAGUUCAACAGAAAGCUUGGGCAGAUGUCCUUGGGCGCCUGGCAAAUGUUACUUUCGUUCAUCUACGCAGCUACUGA